CCGAGGGUGACCUUGGUCCCGAGGAAUAACAUCUCAAGUCGUCUUGAAAAUCGUCCUCGCAUCGUCGCAUCUCUAUAAGACAUCGGGACGCCAAAUGCCUGAACACACCGACAACGCCAACGUCUUCUUUAACCGAGAUCGAUAACGCACUCGUCCACCAAGUCAAUCUUGUUUUGAACGAGAACCGUUGGGAUCUCGCCACACUCGUUCUCAACCUGGAACGUGAUAAUCAGGCCAUGAAUAUGUGAUCGUAGAAGCCUCGAGGGUGGAAGAGGGAAAGAGGAGACGGCGAGUAAUAAAAAAAAUUCAAGAGACCAUUCCAAUACGGUGGCGUUCAUCGAUUUUGUUAACUGACGGAAUCAGCAUAGUUCAAAAAUCUCUUUCCCAGGGAAUAUUCGUGUCCUGGGACUCUUACAGAGUGUCUUUCGAAUCGGAGCAGAGCUCCAGAGAGAGGGCAAUUGAAGCGUGUGAUCCUCAGGAGAAAAUUAAGUCAUUUUUGACGAGUGCGUCCUUUCAGAGUAUCGGAUAAUUGGAAAUAAACUAUUGAGCUCGUAGAUCGGAA